rnacentral:rRNA from 1 species
UUGGUGAGGUAAGGGCUCACCAAGGCGACGAUCCCUAGCUGGUCUGAGAGGAUGAUCAGCCACACUGGAACUGAGACACGGUCCAGACUCCUACGGGAGGCAGCAGUGGGGAAUAUUGCACAAUGGGCGCAAGCCUGAUGCAGCCAUGCCGCGUGUGUGAAGAAGGCCUUCGGGUGUAAAGCACUUUCAGUCGUGAGGAAGGUAGUGUAGUUAAUAGCUGCAUUAUUUGACGUUAGCGACAGAAGAAGCACCGGCUAACUCCGUGCCAGCAGCCGCGGUAAUACGGAGGGUGCGAGCGUUAAUCGGAAUUACUGGGCGUAAAGCGCAUGCAGGUGGUUUGUUAAGUCAGAUGUGAAAGCCCGGGGCUCAACCUCGGAAUAGCAUUUGAAACUGGCAGACUAGAGUACUGUAGAGGGGGGUAGAAUUUCA